rnacentral:rRNA from 1 species
UACGUAGGGUGCAAGCGUUGUCCGGAAUUACUGGGUGUAAAGGGAGCGCAGACGGAACUGCAAGUCUGAUGUGAAAGCCCGGGGCUCAACCGCGGGACUGCAUUGGAAACUGUAGAUCUGGAGUGCCGGAGGGGCAAGCGGAAUUCCUGGUGUAGCGGUGAAAUGCGUAGAUAUCAGGAGGAACACCGGCGGCGAAGGCGGCUUGCUGGACGGCAACUGACGUUGAGGCUCGAAAGCGUGGGGAGCAAACAGGAUUAGAUACCCGU